AAAUAUUUUGGACAUUUUACUUUUUUUUUAUUUUAUUUUAUUUUAUUUUUGGCCAAACAAAUAUUUUUUUAAUUUGUUUUAUUUGGGUUUCCAACAAUAUUCGCUCCAAUUUAGCUCCAUGCAGUCAUGUGUGGAAAUGACAGGAGCAGAGAGGUGUUCUGGAGAUCCCACAGGUGAGGAACCUGAAGGUCAGACGGCCGCUCCUGCACAUCCAGACUGUCCUGACUCCUCCUGAAGGACCUGGACGCGCUUUUCACAUUCAGCUGUUUGGACCAAACACAACGGAGGAACCGAGGAACCGACAGCGUUCUUAAAAGAUGACUGCCGCCGGCUUCCGUAACUUCCUCUUCGGUGCAAUACCCGCCGCCUUUCUCUGCUUUAGCGUCAGGUGCUCGCGAACAGGAACCGCGUGAACGCGCGGGAGACGCUCACCUUCAGGUUGAUGGCAGGAACCUCCAUGACGGACAGUUUGGACCGAACGGUUCCUCCUGAUCCGGGUCUGGCUCCUGCACCGACCUCCGCGCGGAGAACCUCCUCCUCCCUGCAAACAUGAACCAUGUGACAGCAGCCUGACCGCUGCCCAUGUGACCCCCGCCCCCCCGGAACAGCACUAACCUGAUUUACAGAGAACUCACUUUCAUGAAAACACCAAAGUCUGAACAGUGAAAGAAACUACUUUUAUGUUUGGUGUUUAAAAUAAGUUUCAUGUUGAGGAACUGGUGGAUUACUGUCAUUGUUCUGUUAAAUAAAGUUUGUAAAAAAAAAAAAAAAAAAA